rnacentral:rRNA from 1 species
GCCCGAUCAUGGCUCAGAUUGGAUCGCUGGCGGGAUGCUUUAUAUGCAAGUCGAACGGCAGCACGGACUUCGGUCUGGUGGCGAGUGGCGAACGGGUGAGUAAUGUAUCGGAACGUGCCUAGUAGCGGGGGAUAACUACGCGAAAGCGUAGCUAAUAUCGCACAUGCCCUUCGGGGGAAAGCGGGGGGACCUUUCGGGCCUCGCACUAUUAGAGCGGGCUGAUAUCGGAUUAGGCUUAGCGGAGGGGUAAUGGCUCACCAAGGCGACGAUCCGUAGCUGGUUUGAGAGGACGACUCAGCUACACUAAGACUAGAGACACGGCCCAGACUCCUACGGGAGGCAGCAGUGGGGAAUUUUGGACAAUGUGAAACCCUGAUCCAGCCAUCCUGUGUGCGAUGAAGGCUCAACAAAGCACUUGCAGGAAGGAAAUGGCAUUGGAUAAUACCCCGUGCAACUGACGGUACCUGCAGAAUAAGCACCGGCCAAUCCAUGCCAGCAGCCGCGGUACAUGAAAAGCGUUAAUCGGAAAGACGGGCGGGCGCGCAGGCGGUUCUGGAAAAAGAUGUGAAAUCCUGAGCCAACUUCUUGGAACCGCAUUUUUAAUAACCCUUACCGAGCAGAGGUGUGUGCUGAGGGGAGGUGGAAUUCCGCGUGUAGGCAGGGAAAUGGGCGAUAGUGGAGGGAACACCGAUGGCGAAGGCAGCCUCCUGGGAUAACACUGACGCUCAUGCACGAAAGCGUGGGGAGCAAACAGGAUUAGAUACUCCUGGUAGUCUCACGCCCUAAACGAUGUCAACUAGCUGUUAGCCUUCGGCCUUGGUAGUGCAGCUAACGUGAAGUUGACCGCCUGGGGAGUACGGUCGCAAGAUUAAAACUUCAGCGAAUUGACGGGGACCCGCACAUGCGGUGGAUGAUGUGGAUUAAUUCGAUGCAACGCGAAAACUCCACAUACCCUUGACAUGUCUGGAAUCCCGAAGAGAUUUGGGAGGUCGGGUGAGGAACCGGAAACACAGGUGCUGCAUGGCUGUCGUCAGCUCGUGUCGAGAUGUUGGGUUAAGUCCUGCAACGAGCGCAACCUUGUCAUUAGUUGCUACGAAAGGGCACUCUAAUGAGACUGCAGGUGACAAACCGGAGGAAGGUGGGAUGACGUCAAGUCCUCAUGGCUCUUAUGGGUAGGGCUUCACACGUCAUACAAUGGCGACAGAGGGUCGCCAACCCGCGAGGGGAGCCAAUCCCAGAAACCCGAUCGUAGUCCGGAUCGCAGUCUGCAACUCGACUGCGUGAAGUCGGAAUCGCUAGUAAUCGCGGAUCAGCAGGUUGCGUGAAUACGUUCCCGGUCUUGUACACACCGCCCGUCACACCACGGGAGUGGGUUUUACCAGAAGUAGUUAGCCUAACCGUAAGGAGGGCGAUUACCAUGGUAGGAUUCAUGACUGGGGUGAAGUCGUAACAAGGUAG